rnacentral:rRNA from 1 species
GGCAGACGAGGUAGUAAUACGCAGGUACGCACCGAAGAGUCUGGUAUAGCUCGCCGAAAGGCGGGGUAAUCCCAGAUGGCGUGGCGACACUAAAGGAGCAAUCCGCUCUUUGAGCGGCCUGCGGGGCAUCAGCUAGUUGGUAAGGUAAUGGCUUACCAAGGCUACGACGCCUAGGGGACCUGAGAGGGUGACCCCCACCGAUGGGACUGAGACACGGCCCAUACACCUACGGGUGGCUGCAGUCGAGAAUAUUUGGCAAUGGGCGAAAGCCUGACCAUGCGACGCCGCGUGAUGGACGAAGUCCUUCGGGACGUAAACAUCUUUUACGCGUGAAGAAGUAAUUGACAUCAGCGCGCGAAUAAGGGGCUCCUAACUCUGUGCCAGCAGGAGCGGUAAUACAGAGGCCCCAAGCAUUACCCGGAAUCACUGGGCGUAAAGGGUGUGUAGGCGGUCGUAUUAGUCUUUCGUGAAAGCACUUGGGCUUAACCCAGGUAACGCGGGAGAAACGGUACGACUGAGAGGAUGCGAGAGGUAAAGGGAACUCAUGGUGUAGGGGUGAAAUCCGUUGAUAUCAUGGGGAACACCAAAUGCGAAGGCACUUUACUGGCGCACUCCUGACGCUGAAACACGAAAGCGUGGGAAUCGAACGGGAUUAGAUACCCCGGUAGUCC